rnacentral:rRNA from 1 species
GACGUAGGGCGCGAGCGUUGUCCGGAUUUAUUGGGCGUAAAGAGCUCGUAGGCGGCUCGUUGCGUCGGCUGUGAAAACCCGCAGCUCAACCGUGGGCUUGCAGCUGAUACGGGCAGGCUUGAGUUCGGUAGGGGAGAACGGAAUUCCUGGUGUAGCGGUGAAAUGCGCAGAUAUCAGGAGGAACACCGGUGGCGAAGGCGGUUCUCUGGGCCUGUACUGACGCUGAGGAGCGAAAGCGUGGGGAGCGAACAGG